rnacentral:lncRNA from 1 species
GUGAAUACCAAAAUAGGAGAAAAUUUCAGAACUUUAAAAAACAUUUUGAAGUCUAAUUUGAUUUAAAAAUUAAUAAAACUCAGUGUUUAUUGAAUGUUUCCCAAGGGCCAGACAAUGUGCUGAGGGCAAAGCGCAAAAGAAAGGAGGUAUUUCUUACCACCAAUAUAAUUCUGCCUUCCAGGACCCGGCUAUUAGAAAAGAGGUUCAAUGUGAAUAUACUGACAAUAACAACAAAAAAAGAGAUUAGAGAAUUAAGAAAGAAAAUUCUAGAGGGCUUAAAGAUCACAUCUGGAAGGAUCUGAAAGGCCUCUUGAAGGAAAUAGAAAAAAAAAUUCUGGCUAAUUCCUCUAAUACUUCUGGACCCUCAUUGGCUAGGAAAUCAUGCUGUGUUCCCAUAUCUAUUUUCUGGUUCCGUGGAAGCUUCUUGAGUACAUGUCUAAUUUGGUUGGGUUCCCCCACUCUCGUACAGCUUCUCAUACAGUUGAAUUUUAAUUUUCAUUCCAUCAUAACGUUGGUGUUUGCCAUAAUCAAGACUGGCACAUCUCACAGAUGAGCUAGAAUGAUUUGCCAGCAAUCGAUGUGGCUCCCUACUGAGUGUCCUGCUGUCAAAAUCUUUUGAAGAAGACCAUUUGAAACAGCUGACUAAACUACAAAAUCACUGUGUGUGGAAGAUUUCUUGUACUGAUUGUCGAAACUCUGAAAUUUGAUUCAUUACAUCAUUUUUGCUCUUUAAACACGUUUGCUUUAGAAGAUUUUUAUUUAGAAUCCAUGAAGUGUGUCUUAAAAAAUAGAAUAAAACAAGCAACAGACUGAACUGUAUCCUUGAG